UGGUGGAGCGAUUUGUCUGGUUAAUUCCGAUAACGAACGAGACUCUAGCCUAUUAAAUAGUUCGCCGAUCCCGUUACGUCGGCGUCAACUUCUUAGAGGGACAAGUGGCGUUUAGCCACGCGAGAUUGAGCAAUAACA
rnacentral:rRNA from 1 species